AAUAUCUGUUCAUGUGACCCGUGGACUUCCCUUUGUCAUCCUAUGCCUGAGAAUAUAUAAAGGAGGCUGGGAAGGCAAAGGGACGUUCAACUGUCAUCACUGGC
rnacentral:pre_miRNA from 14 species